rnacentral:lncRNA from 1 species
GAUCUUUUUGUUCACAAUAUCAAGAAUCUUUUUUCCAAGUCCCAAGAUACUUCUAAGUUUGAAUUCAAAAAUAACCUACUCUAUUUUGAAGAUUGAUUAUAUGUUCCAAAAAGAGAAGCACAAUUACAUGUUUUUCAAGCAUGAUAUCGUAAUACAUAAAGUCUUGCUUGAGAAUGCUCCAGGCAUCUGGCUAUGGAAGAUAGAAUGGAAAUUAGAAAAAUAAAAUCCUAACUAUAAUAGAAUAUUAAUUAAAUUCUAAUUAGACCAUAAAAAUGUUAAGCAAGCUUUAAUCAAAUUCAAAGAAACCUCAAAGAAAUUUCAAAAAAAAUAAUAACAAAUCUUAAAAAAAUAUUAGAAUGAUUACAAUUAUCUCUCAAAUAUAUCUCAAUUCAAUAUUAAUUUAAUUGUAGUUAAAAUUCUAUUAGACUUCAUUCAAACUUUAGGCCAAAACUAAUUAAAUCUUAAAUCCUAAAAAAAUCCUAAUAAAAGCCUAAAUCCUAAAUCAAACCCUAAACCUUAAACCAAAUCCUAACCAAACUCUAAACCAAACUCUAUCAAAACCCUAACCAAAUCCUAAACCAAACUCAAUCCAAAUCCUAAACAAAUCCAAAAUCAAAUCCUAAACAAAUCCUAAAUCCUAAAUCAAAUCCUAACCAAAUCCUAAAUCCUAAAUCAAAUCCUAAUCCAAAUCAUAAAUCCUAAAUCAAAUCCUAAAUCAAAUCCUAACCAAAUCCUAAUCCUAAAUCAAAUCCUAAUCAAAUCCUAAUCUUAAAUCAAAUCUUAACCAAACUCUAAAUCAAAUCCUAAUCAAAUCCUAACCCAAAUCCUAAAUCCUAAAUCAAAUCCUAAUCAAAUCCUAACCCUAAAUUAAAUCUUAAUCAAGCUCUAAAUCAAACCCUAACCAAAUCCUAACCUAUAUCCUAAAUUCUAAAUCAAAUCCUAACCUUAAAUCAAAUCCUAACCAAACUCUAAAUCCUAAACCAAUCCCUAACCAAAU